rnacentral:lncRNA from 1 species
CAUGCAUCAACCAAGUCAGCAAGCCUGACCACCCGAUCUGUUAGUCGCCUUUUACGACAAGCAUAGUCGCUUUUAACGGUAAGCAUGGGUUGCUGAAGACCUAUUCUACCCCGGAUCUUCCCUACUGAUGAUAUACAUGGGAACAGAAUGACCGAUGUCCAUUGUAAGGCUAUGAAACAUGGAUACCACAAGGGCGGGUCCAGCAUUGUCCAAAGGGAGGGGUCGAAAAUAUCAAAAUCCUCUCUGUCACUACUGCCUUCAACAUACUACGUUUGGUUUUCAAAGGAUGGGGCCGGACCCUCUGGAUCCUCCUAUGGACCAGGCACCCAAUGGAGAUCCUGGUUGAAAUAGGCUGGUCCACUCUGUUCCUUGUGACUAUAGGUUCGGGUGGCCAGGCUCGGUCACGUGGUUGUGUCCCUUUCCCCGAUGACAUGGAUCGUGCUCACGGCGUGUCAGUCACUGGAUUGUUUGUCUGGAUUAUUUCCAGGUUAAUAUGGUAUGGCUGGAAUAUUGCAGUGUGGCGUUAAUCAACAAACAAACAACAGAUGCCAAGAAUACAAAGACUUUUAAUGACAUAAUAUCAGUUUAGUAAUUUAAACGCAAAGAUUAAAAAGUGUUACAAAGCAUUCAACACAAGGAAAACCAUUGAAAUUUUGUGUAUAGUUUGAAAAUGACCAACAUGUGAAUAACUGAUUACUGUUUAUACGUUCAGCUAAAGCAGCAUAGUGUUUUGUGACAAAUAUUCCCUUCCAUUGAAUACAAGACGUUCCAGCAUUAGAUGUGUAAGAAGCAGCACCACUAAGGUGACGAUUGUGCAUUGACCAUGUGACCUCGUGCCAUGGGGGCAAUAGAACGUUUUCUACACCAGGCCGCCACAUAUUUAAUGCAGAUCGUAGAACAGGUGUAUAAAGGCUGCAGAUACAGAUCUAUAGCUUUUGCUGUUUGGGUGUCUGGUUUUUAUAUAAUAUUCAGGUCAACAAGCAAUUACAUCAGUCUGGCCUCAUUAAAGUGUUUAAACCAGACGGUUGAAUCCUAGUGGUCAAUCUGGUCGAAGCUCUACUUACCUAAAAGGGAGAUUGUUCCUCGGUAGUGGCCCAGGCUUAAUUGUACUUAUUGUCAAUGACACAAGCUCUGUGUAAGUUAUAUGGUGAUAUCUAACACAUGUUUUAUGACUCCCCGGUAAGACUUCUGAUACUGUCACAGGAGGACUGGGUUUCACAGUCGGGGGAAUAUUGUUUGCAGGUAUAGCUGGUAUGUCUUAAUGCUGAUUUAUUUAGCAGAGGUUUCUACUGUGUUUGUCUACACAGAGACAUUUUGAAUGAGAGUCUGCCUUUAGGUUAAUUUAUAAAAAGAGAAUUUGUCCUCUCUGUCAACCAAGAAUAUUUGAUGUUAUCAGCUUUUAAAAGAUGUUGAAUAUUUCUCAUUAUAGCAUCACUCGUCAUGAUAGUACCCGUGAUAUAACACAUUUACCUACCGAGCCAUGAUCACCAUAGGUUAACCAACAUCCGUGCCGUCAUCCUGACCGUGAUGGUGUCGUCCAUGUUUAUAUGUGGUCACCACUCAAGGCGAAAAUGGAUUUCAUUACAUAAUGCAAAGUUUUCCAUCAUAGUCAUUGGCCAAGAAGUGAUCAUUUGACAAAAACACACAUUGACUUGAAGUCAGGUCUGAUAAUUUAGGGUUUUGACUUGAGUUACUAAAAAUAGAAUGGGAAUUACCCAGAAGUUGUAUUUCCCAAACCUAAGCCAAUCAGAUGUCUCUGGGGUGUAACUUUUGUCUCUAUAUUAUAUAAUAAAACAAUGAUAGGCGUUAUACGAGGUCAAUACAAGGUCAAUAAAACCAGGUAUUGACCUCACAUAAGGUCUAUAGUUCCUCACAAGGAACUUGUUUUAUAUAAUGCAGACCCAGCAUAUUUUAUGGAGAUAAGUCCCCUUAAGAUAAACUGUGGUGGUCAGGCUGAAGGGGACAACAUCUUUAAGAAACUUACCGGUAUAGUCAACACCUCAUUUUCUAAUUCAGGAGAAUUUGUAAGACAUUCUGUGUAGUCAGGCUCUUGCUUUCUGAUUCUAAUGACUCUGGUGAACUAGUCUUGGUAUCUGGGUCUGGAGACUCUUUAGACACCCAUGGUGGUCAGGGCCUUGGUAUCUGGGUCUGGAAACUCUUUAGACACCCAUGGUGGUCGGGGCCUUGGUAUCUGGGUCGAGGGACUCUUUAGACACCCAUGGUGGUCAGGGCCUUGGUAUCUGGGUGGAGGGACUCUUAAAGACACCCAUGGUGGUCAGGGCCUUGGUAUCUGGGUCUGGAAACUCUUUAGACACCCAUGGUGGUCGGGGCCUUGGUAUCUGGGUCGAGGGACUCUUAAAGACACCCAUGGUGGUCAGGGCCUUGAUAUCUGGGUCUGGAAACUCUUAAAGACACCCAUGGUGGUCAGGGCCUUGGUAUCUGGGUCUGGAAACUCUUAAAGACACCCAUGGUGGUCAGGGCCUUGGUAUCUGGGUCUGGAAACUCUUAAAGACACCCAUGGUGGUCGGGGCCUUGGUAUCUGGGUCUGGAAACUCUUUAGACACCCAUGGUGGUCGGGGCCUUGGUAUCUGGGUCAAGGGACUCUUUAGACACCCAUGGUGGUCAGGGCCUUGAUAUCUGGGUCGAGGGACUCUUUAGACACCCAUGGUGGUCGGGGCCUUGGUAUCUGGGUCUGGAAACUCUUAAAGACACCCAUGGUGGUCGGGGCCUUGGUAUCUGGGUCUGGAAACUCUUUAGACACCCAUGGUGGUCGGGGCCUUGGUAUCUGGGUCGAGGGACUCUUUAGACACCCAUGGUGGUCGGGGCCUUGGUAUCUGGGUCGAGGGACUCUUAAAGACACCAAUUGUGGUCAUAUAUUGUUUUUCUGGUGCAGUCAGACAGGUCGAUAGAGCAGGUGCUAGUCAUGUUAAUUUGCCCAAUAGUGCUUCCAGUCCUAUGUUUAACCUCAACACUGAUUUGUAUAAUAGACGAGUACAUAUUUGUGUAUUGUAUUAUUUAUGUUAUCAUUUAUAUGUUGACUAGUCAGAUUGAAAGAGUUUUUAGCAAGAAUUGAAAUCAAGUUUGUUAAAUUCAACCUGAAUUCUAUUAAAGUAAGCUUGAUUACCUUUAAUAAAUUCUGCUUUAAUAAUGGAAGAUUUGAUUUCAAUUUGUAUGAAAUAUUGGAAAGUUAUGUGUGUGAUUAUGUAAAUAGUGUAUAUAUGUAUUCUAUCUAGAAAGUCGGCAAGUUCAUCACGGCAUUAAGGAAUAUGACUUGAACACUAUCUAUUGUGGAAUUGAUGUAGAACAAACUUGAAAAUGAAUAUUUAUUAUUUCAACAUAUUGUUUUGAUAUCAUUUCAUAGUUUUGAAAUAUAUGUGAAUAAGUGUACAUGAAUUUUUAUGAAGUCAUUUGCAGUUCAUUAGCAUUGUAUGAUAGUUCAUGUAGGUGUCGCCACAGACUCGUGACUAGUUGUUCCACAUGUAGCAGUGUGUGAUUGUUAUGUCCGAUGCCGUUGUAGGGGAGAUAACCCACAACUGUUGAUAUUUGCUGAGUAAGGGUUCUGUUGAAGUUGAUCGUUCCCUCUUUGUUUUAUGAUAUGUAUGGAGGAUGUUGCACGUUUACAAAUACUUUCAUAUUAAGAACUCGAGUGUACAGAGCUAAUAUUUUCCAUAAGCCUUUGGAUAACCAUAAUUUUGGGCUAUAAUGUUUGCGUGUUGACAAAAAAUCUUGAUAUCUCAGAGAUUUACUCAUUUAAUAAGAUUUCAAAAUUCUUGAAUGUCUAAGAUACUUGUUUUUACAUUGGUAACAAUAAUUAUUGUGAAUUAUUUUUUUUAUUCCCAAAAGUUGAUUUUUUUAAAACAACGUACAAACUUUAUUUACCAAUGCUCUUUUUUAACCAGAAGCAAACAAAUCUUGAAUUGGUGUAUUCUUUUAAUCUGUUUCUCUUCAGUAUUAUUUUAACACAGGGACUAUAUAUUCAUUGAACAGAUUGUUGAUCAGUAACACAAAGAGUGGGACGACAUUGUUAAAGCGCCGUGACCUAUGUUGGACAUCUGUAUGUCAAGUGCCUGUCCGAACGCUUGUAGAGUGAUGGGUGAAAUGUACUCGGCUUGUAGCUAGUCCUUCACGCAUGGUGGACGUGUGGGUUUGUUUCUGGACAAUGGGAAUAAACAGAUUUAACCUGAA